UCCCUGGUGGUCCAGUGGCUAAGACCCUGAGCUCCCAAUGCAGGGGUCUCAGGUUCAAUCCCUGGUCAGGAAA
rnacentral:tRNA from 1 species